rnacentral:rRNA from 1 species
AGCGAACGCUGGCGGCAUGCUUAACACAUGCAAGUCGCACGGGCAGAUUUCGGUCUGUCAGUGGCGGACGGGUGAGUAACGCGUAGGUAUCUGUCCUUGGGUGGGGGAUAACGCCGGGAAACUGGUGCUAAUACCGCAUGAUGACUGAGGUCCAAAGGCGCAAGUCGCCUGGGGAGGAGCCUGCGUCCGAUUAGCUAGUUGGUGGGGUAAAGGCCUACCAAGGCACGAUCGGUAGCUGGUCUGAGAGGAUGAUCAGCCACAUUGGGACUGAGACACGGCCCAAACUCCUACGGGAGGCAGCAGGUGGGGAAUAUUGGACAAUGGGCGCAAGCCUGAUCCAGCAAUGCCGCGUGGAUGAAG